rnacentral:rRNA from 1 species
UACGUAGGUGACCAGCGUUGUCCGGAUUUACUGGGCGUAAAGAGCGCGUAGGCGGCCCAGUAAGUCCGCUGUGAAAGUCGGGGGCUCAACCCUCGAAUGCCGGUGGAUACUGUCGGGCUAGAGUGCGGAAGAGGCGAGUGGAAUUCCUGGUGUAGCGGUGAAAUGCGCAGAUAUCAGGAGGAACACCAAUUGCGAAGGCAGCUCGCUGGGACGUAACUGACGCUGAGACGCGAAAGCGUGGGGAGCAAACAGG